rnacentral:tRNA from 1 species
GCGCGAGUGGUGAAAUUGGCAGACACGAUAGAUUUAGGCUCUAUUGCUUAACGGCAAUGAGGGUUCAAGUCCCUCCCCGCGCACCA